GUCCCAGCGAUGCUCCUGACAGCGUGCUGCCAGCCGCCCCGCGCCCCAGCGUUGUGGGGAGCAGUCACUUUGUUCUCCAAAACCUAAAUAGUAAGAAAAAUAUGGAGAAGACCCAAGGAGUGCGGAGAGGGUUAAUGCUGCGAGUGAAGUGAAGAGCACAGCUGCUGGGUUCGGGUGCCAGGGCUGGUACUGCCUGGUGCGGGGUCACUGUCCCCUGGCUGCCUGCUGGCGCCAGCAGUCCCAGGGCAGAGAGGGCCCGGCCGAAGUGCAGCGCUCGGUGGGUGCUGCUGGGGUGAGCUGAGCCCAUUUCUUCUAUUUUCAGGUCAAACUCCAGAAAUCCCUGGAGCAUCUUUUGAAGGAAGUGGAGGAUGUGAGGAAGCGUGAGUCAGCGGAAAGGAUGAAAACCCAGGAGUGCAAGGAGACAGUGAAGAAAAAGCGGGAGAGGAUUGUGAGUGAGUUCGGGAAGCUGCAUCGGCUGCUGGCUGACGAGGAGAAGCUGCUACUCCAGAAGCUGGAGGAAGAGGAGAAGCGGAUUCUGCUGAUGAUCAAUGAAAACCUGGCCAGGCUGGUGGAGCAGAAGUCCUUGCUGGAGGAGCUGAUCCUGGAGAUAAAGGAGAAGACCCAGCAGCCAGCUGACGGGCUGCUCAAGGACAUGAAAAGCGUCCUGAGCAGGUGGGUACCCAUGCUUGUUCCCUCUACCAUCCUGGCUGCCUCCAGGCUCUGAGAUGUUCGUGUCUGCUCCAUGCCAGCCACCCUCUGUUCUCCUUGCCCAGCAUCUGGUUUGGUCCUCCCUGGGGCUGACAAAGAAAGGACUGAGACCAGCAGGGGCUGGAGAAGAGACUCCAUCCUCUUCUUCCAGAGCCCUAGAGCCAAGGACUUGCCUGGCCUUGUGGUGUGUGAGAUGUGUCCUCUCCUAAGGGACAUGCUGCCCAGGUGGCCUUGUUCCUACUUUCACAGGGACUGGUACUGCUUGUCCCCACGUCGUUUAGCUCUGGUCCAAUCAGGCUUGCUGAUAAGCCAGCAGUUAUCCCUAGUGCUCUUCACAGC
rnacentral:lncRNA from 1 species